rnacentral:tRNA from 3 species
GACCGCUUAGCUCAGCUGGCUAGAGCGUCACAUUGACAUUGUGAAGGCCGGGGGUUCAAGUCCCUCAGCGGUCACCA